rnacentral:rRNA from 1 species
UACGGAGGGUGCAAGCGUUGCUCGGAAUUAUUGGGCGUAAAGGGCAAGUAGGUGGUCUUAUUUGUCUAGGGUGAAAGCCUUAAGCUUAACUUAAGAAGUGCCCUAGAAACGGUAAGACUAGAGUCCUGGAGAGGGUCGUGGAAUUCCCGGUGUAGCGGUGAAAUGCGUAGAGAUCGGGAGGAACACCAGAGGCGAAAGCGGCGACCCGUGAGAGCAGCACUCAACUGCGAAAGCGUGGGGAGCAAACAGG